AACGAACGCUGGCGGCAGGCCUAACACAUGCAAGUCGAGCGCGCCCUUCGGGGUGAGCGGCGGACGGGUGAGUAACGCGUGGGAACGUGCCCUUUUCUACGGAAUAGCCUCGGGAAACUGAGAGUAAUACCGUAUACGCCCUUUGGGGGAAAGAUUUAUCGGAAAAGGAUCGGCCCGCGUUGGAUUAGGUAGUUGGUGGGGUAAUGGCCUACCAAGCCGACGAUCCAUAGCUGGUUUGAGAGGAUGAUCAGCCACACUGGGACUGAGACACGGCCCAGACUCCUACGGGAGGCAGCAGUGGGGAAUCUUAGCCAAUGGAGGCAACCCUGAUCUAGCCAUGCCGCGUGAGUGAUGAAGGCCUUAGGGUUGUAAAGCUCUUUCAGCUGGGAAGAUAAUGACGGUACCAGCAGAAGAAGCCCCGGCUAACUCCGUG
rnacentral:rRNA from 1 species